rnacentral:misc_RNA from 1 species
UACGGGACGCGGCAGUGGGAAUUUUUGGACAAUGGGGGAAACCUGAUCCAGCCAUCCCGCGUGUGCAGUGAAGGCCUUCGGGUUGUAAAACACUUUUUGGCAGGAAAACGGCGCAGGAUAAUACCCGUGCAGCGACGGUACUGCGAGAUAAGCACCGGCUAACUGCGUGCCCAGCCAGCCGCGGUAAUACGUAGGGUGCAAGCGUUAAUCAGAAUUACUGGGCGUAAAGCGUGCGCAGGCAGUUCGGAAAGAAAGAUGUAGAAAUCAGAGCUUAACUUUGGAGACUGCAUUUUAACUACCGAGCUAGAGUGUGUCAGAGGAGGUGGAAUUCCGCCGUGUAGCAGUGAAAUGCGUAGAUAUGCGGAGGAACACCGAUGGCAGAGGCAGCCUCCUGGGAUAACACUGACGCUCAUGCACGAAAGCGUGGGAGCAAACGGGAUUAGAUACCCUCGUAGU